UCUCACCAAACCUAUUCCGCCGCUGAUGGGGUCCUCCUGCUCUAUGACGUCACCAGCGAGCGCUCCUUCCUCAACGUCCGCCAGUGGAUUCAGAGCAUUGACGAAGCCUGCCUAACGCGCGUGCCCUUGGUGCUCUGCGGGAACAAGGCCGACCUGAGGGACACGGCAGCUGCGCAGGGGAGGUGCAUCGUCAGCGCCAGCAACGGUGAGAGGCUGGCAAGGGACUACGGUGCUGCGUUUAUUGAAACGUCUUGCAAGAACGGCGCCUGGGGUCAUGGACGCCCUUGUGAUGCUAGCAAGGCAAAUGGUGACGAACGAGGACGUGGAGAUCCAAACGUCGGCGCUGAAGGUCACGGCCAACGACUCGAAGAGAAGUUGCUGUGGGAGCAAAAAAGCCGAAUAGGAUAUUUAAUUCGAUUUUGAUUAAUUUUACGUAUGCUAAUUAUGAGCGUUGAAAUUUUUUUUAUUUUCUUUUCAUCUAUUUUUUUUUCUUUUUUUUUUUUAUGGGGGCUUUUAGUCAACGAUUUUUUUUCUUUUUUAAUUAUGAGCGUUGUAUUUCUUGAUUUUUUUUAUUUUUAUUUAUCUAUAUUAUUUUUCAUGGGGGGCUUUUAGUCUAUUCUUUUUCUUUUUUUUUUACUUUUGUUUUUGUUUCUAUUCCUUCUAAAUGGAAUCGCCGUUUGUAUUUAUAUAUAUAUAUAUAUUUUUUUUUUCUGCUUGGUUAUCGUCUUUCAUUUAUAAAACAAGUGAAACAGUGACGUCACGCUUAUCUCAUGACUUCACACGAAUAUGGAAGUGACGUUACAACUCUCCCAUGACGUCAUGAGAAUGCGGCAAUGACGUCACGACCCUCCCAUGACGUCAUGAGAAUACGGUAAUGACGUCACGACUCUCCCAUGACGUCACGAUUAGCCAUGACAUCAUGAAAAUAUGGUAAUGACGUCAGGACUGGCAGUCUUGGCGCCAGGUUUAGUUUUCCCUUCAAUUCUUCAACUGUAGAUAUGCGUAUGCCGUAGGAAUUUCUAUUAGAAUUAUUGAAAUGCUUGAAAUUAUAUUUAGGUGCCUAUUACUAAGCUAAUGAAAAUAUAUAAUGCACGUGUAAAUGGAUAAGCACGUUCUGGAAUAUAUAAUAAACACAAAGACAAAGUAUUUCCUCAUUUUUUCUCUCUCUGUAUCUGUCUAUAUCUAUAUCUACCUAUUUAUCUAUCUACCUAUCUAUAUAUAAUUAUGUCUAUAUAUCAGUCGUUUC